GACGAACGCUGGCGGCGUGCCUAAUACAUGCAAGUUGAGCGCUGAAGGUUGGUACUUGUACCAACUGGGUGAGCAGCGAACGGGUGAGUAACGCGUGGGGAAUCUGCCUUUGAGCGGGGGACAACAUUUGGAAACGAAUGCUAAUACCGCAUAAAAACUUUAAACACAAGUUUUAAGUUUGAAAGAUGCAAUUGCAUCACUCAAAGAUGAUCCCGCGUUGUAUUAGCUAGUUGGUGAGGAAAAGGCUCACCAAGGCGAUGAUACAUAGCCGACCUGAGAGGGUGAUCGGCCACAUUGGGACUGAGACACGGCCCAAACUCCUACGGGAGGCAGCAGUAGGGAAUCUUCGGCAAUGGACGAAAGUCUGACCGAGCAACGCCGCGUGAGUGAAGAAGGUUUUCGGAUCGUAAAACUCUGUUGGUAGAGAAGAACGUUGGUGAGAGUGGAAAGCUCAUCAAGUGACGGUAACUACCCAGAAAGGGACGGCUAACUACGUG
rnacentral:rRNA from 1 species